GUAGGUGAACCUGCGGAAGGAUCAUUAUCACGUAUCCACGUAUAAACCAAUCGCGAACUGUUCUGCCCUUUGGGAGAAACGAGUCAGUGCUUCAGUGGACGCAUAUGAGUUCUUUAUGUGGUUUUCUUGAACUCGUCUUCUAUCGCCUUGAGUAUUGUACUCAGACUCGUUUUUCCUGAAGUGUAUUUAAAAUCACUAUUUAUCUUCAUUAACCAUUUAAACUUAUUUAUUUAAUUGAAUUCAUGUACUGACUUGUUUCUUACUCCGUACACGGAGAAGAAAUUCAUUACGAAACAAAAGAACAACUCUUAGCAACGGAUAUCUUGGUUCUC
rnacentral:misc_RNA from 1 species